rnacentral:rRNA from 1 species
UACAGAGGUGGCAAACGUUGUUCGGAUUUACUGGGCGUAAAGGGUGCGUAGGUGGUUAGGUAAGACCUGUGGGAAAGACCUGGGCUUAACCCAGGAAGGUCGCAGGUGACUGCCUGGCUAGAGGGCGGGAGAGGAGAGCGGAAUUCCCGGUGUAGCGGUGAAAUGCGUAGAGAUCGGGAGGAAGGCCGGUGGCGAAGGCGGCUCUCUGGAACGUUCCUGACACUGAGGCACGAAAGCGUGGGGAGCAAACAGG